GACGUAGGGCGCGAGCGUUGUCCGGAUUUAUUGGGCGUAAAGAGCUCGUAGGCGGCUCGUUGCGUCGGCUGUGAAAACCCGCAGCUCAACUGUGGGCUUGCAGCUGAUACGGGCGGGCUGGAGUUCGGUAGGGGAGACUGGAAUUCCUGGUGUAGCGGUGGAAAUGACGCAGAUAUCAGGAGGAACACCGGUGGCGAAGGCGGGUCUCUGGGCCGAUACUGACGCUGAGGAGCGAAAGCGUGGGGAGCGAACAGG
rnacentral:rRNA from 1 species